GAUGAACGCUAGCGGCAGGCUUAAUACAUGCAAGUCGUGGGGCAGCAUGAGUAGCAAUACUUGAUGGCGACCGGCAAACGGGUGAGGAACACGUACACAACCUUCCUUCAAGCGGGGAAUAGCCCAGAGAAAUUUGGAUUAAUACCCCAUAAUAUAUUUGAUAAGGCAUCUUAUUAAUAUUAAAGCUUCGGCACUUGAUGAUGGGUGUGCGGCUGAUUAGAUAGUUGGCGGGUAACGGCCCACCAAGUCUACGAUCAGUAGCUGAUGUGAGAGCAUGAUCAGCCACACGGGCACUGAGACACGGGCCCGACUCCUACGGGAGGCAGCAGUAAGGAAUAUUGGACAAAUGGACGAAAGUCUGAUCCAGCCAUGCCGCGUGAAGGAUUAAGGUCCUCUGGAUUGUAAACUUCUUUAUAUGGGACGAAAAAAGGGCAUUCUUGUUCACUUGACGGUACCAUAUGAAUAAGACACCGGCUAACUCCGUGCCAG
rnacentral:rRNA from 1 species